CCCAGCCCGGCCCGGCCCCUGCCCCGGGGGGCCCCGCUCGGAGGGAAGCAUGGCAGAGUCCUAGAAUCCGCGCGUCUGUCUGCAGGGAGAGAGCCUGCGGGGAACCGGGGCGUGACAUGGUCUCCAGCCCCUUAUGAAACCUGCCCAAUCUCCCUGCUCCUCUGCCAGGCUGAGGAAUCGCGUCCACGAUUCCCUCCAGAUCGUCCCGUCUUCCAGGAGACAGGGCCGGGAAAUGGCCAUGAUGGAGCCAGCUCAGAUGCCGGUGACCUUCGAGGAGGUGGCUGUGUAUUUCACCCAGGGGCAGGGGGCUC